GAUGAACGCUGGCGGCGUGCCUAAUACAUGCAAGUCGAGCGAACGGACGAGAAGCUUGCUUUUCUGAUGUUAGCGGCGGACGGGUGAGUAACACGUGGAUAACCUACCUAUAAGACUGGGAUAACUUCGGGAAACCGGAGCUAAUACCGGAUAAUAUUUUGAACCGCAUGGUUCAAAAGUGAAAGACGGUCUUGCUGUCACUUAUAGAUGGAUCCGCGCUGCAUUAGCUAGUUGGUAAGGUAACGGCUUACCAAGGCAACGAUGCAUAGCCGACCUGAGAGGGGGAUCGGCCACACUGGAACUGAGACCCGUCCCAGACCCCUAGGGGGGGCAGCAGUAGGGAAUCUUCCGCAAUGGGCGAAAGCCUGACGGAGCAACGCCGGGUGAGUGAUGAAGGUCUUCGGAUCGUAAAACUCUGUUAUUAGGGAAAAACAUAUGUGUAAGUAACUGUGCCCAUCUUGACGGUACCUAACAAGAAAGCCCCGGCUAACUACGU
rnacentral:rRNA from 1 species